rnacentral:lncRNA from 1 species
UCUCAUUCUUGGGAUAGAUAUAACUAUAGGAAUAAGUAGGGAUAUAUAAUUAAUUUUGUGUUUAGGUAAGAAUUGUGUUAUUACUGAGAAUAAAGAAAUUGUGUUUGGAUGAUUAAAUUGGAAUAAUUGGAACAGAGGAAUUAUAAUAUAAAAUAUAGGGACUUCACCAAUUAAUUAUAAUCAUGCUAUUAGUAAGAGUCCGGCUACUAUACUAUCGAUAGUACCAAGCUCUUGGUACUAUCAAAUUUUCUGCCGUUAAAUCUACCCUUUGAUCAUUUGCACCCGUUAGACUAUAUUAUUCAACUAACCACACAUUCAACCCUUGGAGUCUACUAUCAUCUUAACCAUACAUCCAUUCAUCCCACGGCCAAAAACUUUAUAGAAUUAAGUGCUUGAUACUAUUGAUAGUAUAGUAGCAUAAUUCCUAUUAGUAAAUAGUAUUUAGG